rfam:Triticum aestivum genome assembly, contig: Triticum_aestivum_CS42_TGACv1_scaffold_033875_1BL
AUUCUACUCCCUCCGUUGCACAAUACAUGCCUUCUAUUUGUCAAAAUAUAUAUGUAUCUAGACAUGUUUUAGUAUAUAGGCACAUCCGUUUUUCGACAAAUGGAAGUCAAGUAUUUUGGAACGGAGGGAGUACACA